GUUGGCAAGCUGGAGACCCAAGAAGAGCCAAUAUUUCAGUUUGAGUCUGAAGGCAGGAAAAGACUGAUGUCCCAUCUCAAAGCAGUCAGGCAGAGGGAGUUCCCUCUUGUUCUCAGUCAAGGAAGGAUGGCGCAGUGCUCCCGCUGUUCCGAGGCUCAGCUAUCCUGAGGGAGGCAGGGAAUUUUGAUCAGCUUCUGAAGAAUCACCUCAUCUCUCCCUGCAGAGAGCACAGAGCACAGGACUUCACGUUAUGUCAAAUGAGUCUUCUGAGGUUCAGAAGGGUGAGAUGACACAUUCAAGGUCACAUGGCUCAUUUGUGCUGGAGUCAGAAGUUUCCAGAUUUCUUGACUUUUAGUCCAAGGAGCAGUCCCUGUGCAUGUGUCAGAGUUGAACAAGCCAGGUUCCAGGAGAGCAGAUGGUCCUGAAGAAGGUCUUCCUGGCUGAUCUGAGAGGUGACACCGAGGAAUAAAGAAGGGAAGGAUGAGAUGAGCUUCUGAGUUUGGAAACUGCAUUGAUGUUGAAGAUGGUCUCAAAGUUGUCAGGUGGAAGUUCAGAGAAAGACAAGAUUAUAGACAAAAUAAAGGCACU
rnacentral:lncRNA from 1 species